GACGAACGCUGGCGGCGUGCUUAACACAUGCAAGUCGAACGAAGUGGCGGACGGGUGAGUAACGCGUAAUCAACCUGCCCUUCAGAGGGGGAUAGCAGUUGGAAACGACUGCUAAUACCGCAUCCUGAAGAAGGGGGUUGCGUCUGAUUAGCUAGUUGGAGGGGUAACGGCCUACCAAGGCGAUGAUCAGUAGCCGGCCUGAGAGGGUGAACGGCCACAUUGGGACUGAGACACGGCCCAGACUCCUACGGGAGGCAGCAGUGGGGAAUCUUCGGCAAUGGACGAAAGUCUGACGGAGCAACGCCGCGUGAGUGAUGACGGCUUUCGGGUUGUAAAGCUCUGUUAAUCGGGACGCGGUACCGGAAUAGAAAGCCACGGCUAACUACGUGCCAGCAGCCGCGGUAAUUC
rnacentral:rRNA from 1 species